rnacentral:misc_RNA from 1 species
AUAAUAUCCAAAGUAGGGAUUUAGUUUUUGAAGUGCGUAGUUUGUAUCGCAAAUCUCAAGUUCAAUUUAUCUGUUAUUUUGCAGUGGGUACGAAUAGGGUGUGAAAUCAUGACCUCAAAUAUUUCUGUAUGCAACCAAAUAGGCAAAGACCGAGUUGUAGUGCAGCAGCUGAAUGAGAUGUUUGGUAAUAAGCUAAAUCUCAGUUUGAUUGAGGAGGUUGCAAAGUCUUGUCAGUUUGAUGUGAAUCAAUCAUCUAAUGAGCUCCUGGAAAUUACAAACCGUAAUCAUGUAGUUUCUAAUACUACCAAUAUUGUUAGGAUAUCUAAAUCAUCACAAAAUAGCCCUAAUAAAACUAGAAAAGCUACAGAGCAGGAAAGGAUUAUAAAAGAAAUCAACAAUGGAUAUAAAGUGCUUAUUAUCUUACGGGGAUUACCAGGUUCUGGGAAAACUACACUAGCAAAAAAGAUUUUAUCAAUGACCAUAGGUUACAAUGAUUCAACGGCUGAAACACAUAUUUUAUCCACUGACGAUUAUUUUGUUAAGAAAGGGGUUUACUUAUAUGAUCCUAGAAAAUUGUCAGAGGCUCAUGGAUGGAAUCAUAAUAGAGCUUUUCAAAUUAUGUCAAAAGGAUUCAGUCCUGUUAUAAUUGAUAAUACCAACACUCAGAUGUGGGAAAUGAAACCAUAUGCUGCCAUGGCUACUGAUUACGGAUAUAUUUUGGAAAUUUUAGAGCCGGAUACUCACUGGUGUUUUAACGAAAAGGAACUUGGCAAACGAAAUGUACACAAUAUACCAAAAAGUUCAAUAAGAAAUAUGAUGGACAGGUAUGAAAAAAACGUGACUCCAGCAAAACUGUUAAAUUCUUACGGAUGCAAGUAUAAGCUUCAGAAACCUCCACAAUUUCGACUGCACCCGCCACUCCAACAAGUAACCACCAAUCGUAUGUUUUCUGAACCUUUUAAUGGCCUAGCUAAACCAAACACCGAACAUUAUUUGGAAAACAAGCAUUCAUCAUCAAAGUACGCGCGUAUCGAUAAGCAAAAUGGACAAGCGUCAAAACAUGGGGUGGAAGUUUUUGAUAUGUUUUCCGGAUCAGAAGCAUCAAUAUCCAAAAAUUUAGUCGACAAUGAAGUUGAUGUUCACGAGGUUCAAAGUUCUUCUGUUGAUGACAUAUUGAUGAGUAAUGAUACAUCGGUUUUGAGUGCACCCGUACUAAAACCGGUUCAGACGUGCAAGAUUAAACAAAGCAUGAGUUUAUUUGACAACAUUAGUGCAUGGGGUAUCGAUGCCAACGCUCUUCGCUCUUGGGAUAUAGUAAUUCCAUUGGAGGACAAUAAAUCCACUGUUCUUAAUCAGCCUAUAGUAAUAGACGAUGAUGACGUAAUCAUAGAAACAACUGAAGCAAGCACAAUGACGGACGAAACAUAUUUUAAUAUAAGCAAAAAUAUUUCAGUAAUUCCGCCUCCUUGUGACAUAAAGAUAUUAACUACAUGUAACCGAGAUAUUAAUAGAAAAGUCCCACCAAAGCCACCGGGUAUCAGGAAGAAAAUUAUGAUUGAUAAAAGUUGCAACACCGAAGAAAUCUAUGCUCCCAGCAUUGAUGUAGAUCAUUUGGUUAACGUAUUUCCAAAUAUCAACAAAAAAUCAAUUCAGUAUUGGUAUGAAAUGUGUAACAGAGAUUUUGAAUCCACAAUGGAGCUGCUACUUUUGGAGAAAGAUGAAAUCGCUAAUAUUGACAUAGACGAUCUUCCAAAGGAGCCUCAAAAUAUUCGAGAAGUUGUCACAGUCGAUAGUGAUAGUAGCUCUAGUAAUGAAGAAAAACAUUGGACACAAAAGCGGUCCCAGAAACAGAAACGGAAAACACACAAUUCCGGUAAGUCACAAGAUUUAAAAAAGCAAUUAGAGAGCAAGUUUACUAUUAGUGAUGACUAUUACUCCGAAAAAUUACUUCAAGUCAAAUCAAGGCAAUCCGAUGCACAAUUUUCAUCAGUUGGAUUUGCUUUACAAACUUCUGAAUCCGCAAAAUCUGUAGCUUCAAAGAUGGAUGUGGAUGAAACUAAUGAAGAUAGCGUUGACUCCGACGAUGUCGAUUCUUGUUCAUCAUCCAAGGAUGAACCAGUUGAAGAUAUUCAGACAGUGGAGCUUAAUUUUGGGGAUCACUUUGUCAAACAACUAGAAAAUAUUUUUGGUGAUCUCAAUCUUAUUUAUCCAAAAGGUUUCUUACCAGUGGUACAGCUACCUAAAACGCUAGCAAGACAGAUCUACGCAUUUUAUAUAGAAUCAGUUUAUCAACAAGUUGAGACACAAAACGCUGUUAUGGCUGAUCUUUUGAAAGAAGAUGAAGAGUUUGCCAAGAAGUUGCAGGAAGAUGAAAAUAAUGGCACACAUACUUCUCAAUCGAAUCAGGAACCAAUAACAAUUCCGGAAAUAAUAAAGGAGCAAAAGGAAUUGAGUAAGGCGCAAAGAGAGGCAGACAAAUGGAAAGACGAGACACCAGAUACAUUAGCGGCAAGACUUACAAGAGAAAAAUUGUUUAACUCAUUUCCGAACCUUGAUAGAGAUACUUUGGUUGAAGUUUUGCAUGCUCAUCAAAAUAUAUACAGCGAUACGUUAGAGACACUACUUGAAAGUACUGGAACGCAUAACAUUAGAAGCGAUUUGGAGUUAAUUAAACAUCCGCCUAUAGAAAAAGAGGUACUUGAUGAGAUGUGGGAGGAUCAUCACAAUAGUGCCAAUCAAGUUGCGAAACUUAUCCGCGCACUUGUCAAGUCACCCUGUACAGUAUGAGUUUCAAACAUAGCAAUUCUAUCAAAUCUUUUUUCCCGCAGAUCACCAAGACUAGAAAUGAAUGAGCAGGAAACCGAAGAUGCACCCCGCUCAGCGAGUAAUUUAAGGGCCGAGGCGAAUGGAUACUUAGAAAAAAGAACACGCCUAUACGAAAAAGCCAAAAAAUAUCAUCAAACAGGUAUGCGGGAGGUAGCACAAUUCUACAGUUUCUUAG